rnacentral:rRNA from 1 species
UACGAAGGGUGCAAACGUUGCUCGGAAUUAUUGGGCGUAAAGGGUGCGUAGGCGGCGCGGUAAGUCGGGUGUGAAAUCUCGGAGCUUAACUCCGAAACUGCAUUCGAUACUGCCGUGCUUGAGGACUGGAGAGGAGACUGGAAUUUACGGUGUAGCGGUGAAAUGCGUAGAUAUCGUAAGGAAGACCAGUGGCGAAGGCGGGUCUCUGGACAGUUCCUGACGCUGAGGCACGAAGGUCAGGGGAGCAAACGGGG